rnacentral:lncRNA from 1 species
UACAGGCAGCAAACAUCCGUGAAACUCACUGACAGAGUGUAUGUGCCUGCUAUUGUGUAGUUUAAUCAACAGUUAGACAGAAAGUAUAAAGUAAAACGUGAAAUAGCUGCUUGUUGAGUCCACUUUGCAGACUGAAAAGGAGGCAGGGUGGGAAAGGAUGGGGAAGAAAUGUAUGAUUAUAUAAUUCUAAAUAUAUUCUUAUAUAAAUAUGUCUUAGUGCAUACAUGUACAUGAGCUGGAUUGAGGUUGCUCAGGCAACCUUUUGAGUGCUGGACUCUGCAACUGUAAUGUACUUUUAAUGCACUUAAAUUAUAAAUGAAUAGAAUACAGUAGAGAUGUGGCACAGUGCCACAUAUGGCUGGUCAGAAUUAAUUAUCCACAGAUCUAGCUCAUGACUGGAGAGGCUCUGCAGUACAUCUUUUACCUUCAUCUCUUGUUAUCUCAUUUAUUCAUAGAUGCUGAUAAGACACUGUUGCCCCCCUCCCACCAAUCUAGCAAAUUAAUUUGACAGUGAGAAACUCAAAACGUUACAGAGUGGAAAGUCAGAAGUGCAUUUUCCAACUGCAAACAGUUGCAAUGAACUUUUCCUGACUAAUCCACCAGGCUCACUGUAUCGCUUCUGGACGAGAUGCCAGGAUUUUAUCACCAGGCCAGACAUUAACCCCCUUGGUAUCAUUCUGAAAGGAAGCRUCCGUGCACCCCACUGGCUUCUAUUCCCUAUGGUGCUUCAUUAUGCCUCCUAC